rnacentral:rRNA from 1 species
UUCCGGUUGAUCCUGCCGGACCUGACUGCUAUCGGAUUGGUACUAAGCCAUGUGAGUCGUUGUAGCAAUACAAGGCAUACGGCUCAGUAACACGUAGUCAAUCUACCCUAUGGACGGGGAUAACCUCGGGAAACUGAGGAUAAGACCCGAUAGAUCAUAGUGCCUGGAACGGCUUAUGGUCAAAAUGAUUCGUCGCCGUAGGAUGGGACUGCGGCCUAUCAGCUUGUUGGUGAGGUAAUGGCCCACCAAGGCUAUAACAGAUACGGGCUCUGAGAGGAGAAGCCCGGAGAUGGGUACUGAGACACGGACCCAGGCCCUACGGGGCGCAGCAGGCGAGAAAACUUUGCAAUGUGCGAAAGCACGACAAGGUUAAUCCGAGUGAUUCCUGCUAAAGGAAUCUUUUGUUAGUCAUAAUACCACUGAUGAAUAAGGGGUGGGCAAGUUCUGGUGUCAGCCGCCGCGGUAAAACCAGCACCUCAAGUGGUCAGGAUGAUUAUUGGGCCUAAAGCAUCCGUAGCCGGCUCUGUAAGUUUUCGGUUAAAUCUGUAUGCUCAACAUACAGGCUGCCGGGAAUACUGCAGGGCUAGGGAGUGGGAGAGGUAGACGGUACUCGGUAGGAAGGGGUAAAAUCCUUUGAUCUAUUGAUGACCACCUGUGGCGAAGGCGGUCUACCAGAACACGUCCGACGGUGAGGGAUGAAAGCUGGGGGAGCAAACCGGAUUAGAUACCCGGGUAGUCCCAGCUGUAAACUAUGCAAACUCAGUGAUGCAUUGGCUUGUGGCCAAUGCAGUGCUGCAGGGAAGCCGUUAAGUUUGCCGCCUGGGAAGUACGUACGCAAGUAUGAAACUUAAAGGAAUUGGCGGGGAGCACCACAAGGGGUGAAGCCUGCGGUUCAAUUGGAUUCAACGCCGGG